UACGUAGGGGGCAAGCGUUAUCCGGAUUCACUGGGCGUAAAGGGAGCGCAGGCGGCAUGGCAAGUCUGAUGUGAAAACCCGGGGCCCAACCCCGGGAGUGCAUCGGAAACUGCCAGGCUGGAGUGUCGGAGGGGUAAGCGGAAUUCCUAGUGUAGCGGUGAAAUGCGUAGAUAUUAGGAGGAACACCAGUGGCGAAGGCGGCUUACUGGACGACUACUGACGCUGAGGCUCGAAAGCGUGGGGAGCAAACAGG
rnacentral:rRNA from 1 species